rnacentral:rRNA from 1 species
ACGGGAGGCAGCAGUGAGGAAUAUUGGUCAAUGGGCGAGAGCCUGAACCAGCCAAGUAGCGUGAAGGAUGACUGCCUAUGGGUUGUAAACUUCUUUUAUAAAGGAAUAAGUCGGGUAUGUAUACCCGUUUGCAUGUACUUUAUGAAUAAGGAUCGGCUAACUCCGUGCCAGCAGCCGCGGUAAUACGGAGGAUCCGAGCGUUAUCCGGAUUUAUUGGGUUUAAAGGGAGCGUAGAUGGAUGUUUAAGUCAGUUGUGAAAGUUUGCGGCUCAACCGUAAAAUUGCAGUUGAUACUGGAUAUCUUGAGUGCAGUUGAGGCAGGCGGAAUUCGUGGUGUAGCGGUGAAAUGCUUAGAUAUCACGAGGAACUCCGAUUGCGAAGGCAGCCUGCUAAGCUGCAACUGACAUUGA